CCUACGGGUGGCAGCAGUGGGGAAUAUUGGGCAAUGGGCUCAAGCCUGACCCAGCAACGCCGCGUGAAGGAAGAAGGCUUUCGGGUUGUAAACUUCUUUUGUCAGGGACGAGUAGAAGACGGUACCUGACGAAUAAGCCACGGCUAACUACGUGCCAGCAGCCGCGGUAAUACGUAGGUGGCAAGCGUUGUCCGGAUUUACUGGGUGUAAAGGGCGUGUAGCCGGGUUGACAAGUCAGAGGUGAAAUCCUGCGGCUUAACCGCAGAACUGCAUUUGAAACUGUUGAUCUUGAGUACUGUAGAGGCAGAUGGAAUUCCUAGUGUAGCGGUGAAAUGCGUAGAUAUUAGGAGGAACACCAGUGGCGAAGGCGGUCUGCUGGACAGCAACUGACGGUGAGGCGCGAAAGCGUGGGGAGCAAACAGGAUUAGAUACCCCAGUAGUC
rnacentral:rRNA from 1 species